NNNCUUCAGCAGCACCUACACUAAAAUUGGAACGACACAGAGAAGAUUAGCAUGGCCCCUGCUCAAAGAUGACAUGCAAAUUCAUGAAGCAUUCUAUAUUUUU
rnacentral:snRNA from 1 species